GACGAACGCUGGCGGCGUGCUUAACACAUGCAAGUCGAACGGAAAGGCCCUGCUUUUGUGGGGUGCUCGAGUGGCGAACGGGUGAGUAACACGUGAGUAACCUGCCCUUGACUUUGGGAUAACUUCAGGAAACUGGGGCUAAUGCCGGAUAGGAGCUCCUGCUGCAUGGUGGGGGUUGGAAAGUUUCGGCGGUUGGGGAUGGACGCGCGGCUUAUCAGCUUGUUGGUGGGGUAGUGGCUUACCAAGGCUUUGACGGGUAGCCGGCCUGAGAGGGUGACCGGCCACAUUGGGACUGAGAUACGGCCCAGACUCCUACGGGAGGCAGCAGUGGGGAAUAUUGCACAAUGGGCGGAAGCCUGAUGCAGCAACGCCGCGUGCGGGAUGACGGCCUUCGGGUUGUAAACCGCUUUCGCCUGUGACGAAGCGUGAGUGACGGUAAUGGGUAAAGAAGCACCGGCUAACUACGUG
rnacentral:rRNA from 1 species